rnacentral:lncRNA from 1 species
GCGAGCGAGACUGCUGAGUAUGCGUAAAUAGGCGGAACAUUGUGUGCUUGCGUCACUGUACUGCCGAGCGAGCCUCUCAAAUUUGUUGUCUUUGUCGGUGAGACGAUUAUUGUGGUUGGACGUGCUGCUGUUGCGCUUCGCGACACGCACGUUGGACCACCCUGACCUCCUGGGGGCCUCUAUAGCUAGAUGUGCUGAAGCAAGCCUCUUCUGGACCCGGAAGUUGCCCCUUCCAGCGACCUGUACGGCAACAACGUUGGAAACGAACAUGAAUUUUGGCACUCUGGAGCCUCGGUGGCUAGCCGUUGCUUUUUUCCGUUGCUUGCUUUGCGUUUUUGAUACUUGCCUUGUUAACGUACGACAGACUUAGUCCUGACAAUGUAUGUGGUUGACGAUGCAUGUCCAACGAACGUCUACGUGGUUUCUUCUUCUUCUUCUAUCCGGCCUCAGCGUGGCUGUCACUUUCGGGGUAGUUCAUUACGUGACGUGAGUGGUUUUCUUCUUGUGUUUCUCUCUGAUCUAUUUUGGCUUGCUUGCAUGCUGCUCUGUGCGCUGUGAUACCAUACCACUGAGUCUAAAGCUUCUCUGCACAAGACCGCGGCAAUACUUUAAUAUAUUGUGGUCCUCAUAAGGACUAUCGGACGCCUCCAUGAAUUCCUGGUCGGCAGGCGGUCCAAUUUCCUUUCUCUAUGUUUUGUAGUGACUAGUCGCAUGUACAUGUACGGCCAGCGGUAGCUGAUGGAUCGAUCUGGGCAAGUUGAUAUUCAAUUAGCGUAAGGGCGCAAUCAGAUUUCGGUGCUGAAGUGUUGUAAGAUGUUGAUUAUUGUGGCGCUUCCGACCUAUUCCCUGAGUACAUGCAUAUGUAUGUUUGUGUGUUUCUGUUUGUGUUGCCUCUUCGCUUGUGAACUCAUGCUGGAAGGGAAUGCUGUAAGAAACGAAGGAGUAGCAUUUGUCCGUUCCCCUCGCCUUCUGCAACUGCUGGAUGAUCAUGG